GCCCUCGUAGCUCAGCUGGAUAGAGCAUACGCCUUCUAAGCGUACGGUCGAGCGUUCGAGUCGCCCCGAGGGCG
rnacentral:tRNA from 1 species